rnacentral:lncRNA from 1 species
GCGAAGUAGUCUUAAAGCUUAGAGAGGUUUUUUAAGAGUUCCUUGAUACUCUAAGGUACUAACUUACCCGUAAAAGUUAGAGGUUCUUAAGAGUGCCCUUGAUACUCUAAGGUGUGAGUCUACCCGUAAAAGACUGGUUAUUAAGCGAAGUAGCCUUAAAGCUUAAAGAGUUUUGUCGGGACUGGAUUAGCCCUUGUUUGGGGGAACCAGUAUAAAUCUUUUGUGUUGUUCUUUGUUAAAUUUAGUUUUAUUUAUUGUCUAAACAACACUUAAUUAAAUAGAUCCCUCUUCCAAUUAUCUGGUCAAGUAUAGUGGUUGACUACUUUCUGCAGAUCCCUCAUCCUGUUAUCUGGUCAAGUAUCUGAGAUUAUAUUUAUUGUUCAAAUCUCUAUCCAGUAACCUGGUCAACUAUUUACUUAUCAUAUAUAUCCAGUUAUCUGGUCAGAUAUUUACUUAUCAUAUAUAUAUCCAGUUAUCUGGUCAGUUAUUUAGUUAUCAUUUUAUAUCCAGUUAACUGGUCCUUUACUCUAAUACUGUAACGUGCACUUAUAAUAUAACUUAGUAUCUAUAUACUAUAGUUGUUUAUAAAGCACUGUCUAAUAAGCUGACUCAGUAUUCAUAUACUAUAGGUAAGCUUUGAAGAGAAAAGGCAAGAAUAUAAAUAUAUAUGAUGAAGCACGAAAUCUGCUACGGGGUUGCGAUAUGAGCCGGAGGCUUUGGAAUCCACGGCGCGCGCUCUACGUCAAAUACCUGCAGAUGUGGGAGUCGGCGACUCGAGCUCCUUAGUUUGCUCUGAUGUGGAGUGUGCCAAGUGUUUGUGACCUGAGAAUGGAGGACCCCUUUUAUAGGGUCUUUGGGACGUUUCUCCAUUCAAUGAUCUGGGGCCCACACCAUUAUGGCGCCCGGUUAAUGAUGCCAUAAUGGUGUGGGCCAGCUCAAGUAACGGCUGGGAAUCGUCUACUCAUUAUGGGAAUCACCUACUCAGGUGUGGGAAUCGAUGACUCAGGUGAGAAUCGCCUACUCAGGGGGAAUCGGUUAUUCCCACAUGUUGACUUGAGGACUUGACGUAGACACUUGUUCCACAAUUGUGGAGCUCUCCGGGGGUCCGGCAUAAAGCGAUGGAACCCUGAUCCUUGUUAAAGGACGUUGCUGGGAGUGACUGACGUAAUCAGGCAUGUCUCACCAGUACUCCCCCCUGAAGAGAGCACAAGAAACAUGCGUGUAUCACUAGUAUCCCCCCCCAAGCAAGGUUUUGUGUGAUCCGCAUCAAGGCCAAAGCGACAAGAUGGGAUUGAAUCAUUGCGGCCACAUCGACAAUGAUUCUGUAUCCAUCACUAUCAGAUGGAUUGAUUUACUAUCAGAAUCUAGUUCCAGGCCAGCGGAACUAUGUGUUUAUAGUCCAUCCCUGAUCAAGGGCGACUUUUGCAGUGUCAUCAAGGCCAAAGCAACAAGAUGAAUUGACUCACUAUCAGAGUCUGAUUCUGGCCGAAGCGACAGAAUCUAUUGAUUUACUAUCAAAAUUUGAUUCACUAUUAGAAUCUAAUUCACUAUUAGAACAAUGUUUAUAGUCAACUCUGAUCAAGAGCGACUUUUUGUCCGCAACGACGGUUACCCCAUCAAGGCCAAAGCGACAAGAUAAGUUGAGAUCAUUAAGGCCAAAGCGACAAAAUGAUCUCUAGUCCAUCAAGGUCAAAGCGACAAGAUAGAUUAACUCACUAUUAGAGUCUGACUCACUAUCACAAUUAGGUUCACUAUUAGAACCUGAUUCACUAUUAGAAUCUUACCUGCAAAAAAGAAAACAUCCUGCAAAACAACUAGAUCAGUCCAAAACGCAUAUUAUUAUUGACUUAUUGAACUUACCGUGUGAUUUUACCUUCCGCAAUGUCUCUCCUUUGCUCAAAUUAAUCCUUGGUAAAUCUGGCCGAAGCGACAUAUUUUACCAUGCUCAAAUUUUUGACAACUUCUGGCCAAAGCGACAAAAGUGUCGGGAGAGUUUGUGAUACUCCCCCCGAAAUGUGACGACUUAUGACCGAAGCGACAAAAGUGUCGGGAGAGCUUGUGAUACUCCCUCCGAAAUGUGACGACUUCUGGCCGAAGCGACAGAAGUGUCGGGAGAGCUUGUGAUACUCCCCCUCGAAUUGUGACGACUUCUGGCCGAAGCGAUAGAAGUGUCGGGAGAGCUUGUGAUACCCCUCUCGAAAAUCAUGCCAUUGUGACAUACACUUUUUGGAAUGAGUAGUUUUCCGAAAUAUUUUAUUUUGACUGUCAAUGGGCUAUCUUUUGUUUUUUCUUUGUUAAUCUUUCAUAUAAAUUACCAUUUAAAUUGUAACUAAGGCCCGAAACUAGAUUCACAAGUCGUAAUUUAGCCGUUCUGGACGUAAAUUAGACUCUGCUAACCCUAUCUUAGCCACUCUGGGCGUAAGCUUGGUCGUACGAAUCAUAGCUCAGCCUACGGUUAAAUUUACGGAUAAUUUAUACCUCCAUAUUAACGUAGAGUUGUAAAAGAUAGCGCAAAUGACAAAUCCAAAAAGAUGCAAAUAUUUGAAACUCGAGGGUUACGUUUGUAAUUUCUAAUUACAACUUAAGUUUGAACCCUGAUGCCGGAGAGAGUUUGUGAUACCCCCUCUUGAAAUGUGACGACUUUUGGCCGAAGCGAUAGAAGUGUCGGAGAGAGCUUGUGAUACUCCCACUUGAAAUUUUUUGAUAUUUUUGUAAUCUUUUUGGAACUCAAUUUAAUCAAUUAUUUUGCUUUCUUAAUUAAUUGUUUAUUUAAUUUAUUUUUUGAAUUGUAACUAAGACCCGAAACUAGAUUCACAAAUCGUAAUUUAGCCACUCUGGAUAUAAAUUAGACUCUUCUAACCCUAUUGCUAGCCACUUUGGGCGUAGACUUGGUUGUACGAAUCGUAGCUCAGUCUACGGCUAAACUCGCAAAAUAAAUUAAACUUCACAACUAAUCGAGACUCGCAAAGCUAAUUGACGUAAUAAGUUGGAUUGGAGAUACAAAAAAUAUCGGGAAUUUAGCUAGGAUUUAGAAUUUUUUGGAAUAAGUGAUGUAAGCACUUAGAACUUUUUUAGAUCCUAAGACUCUAGAUUUUAUACUCUAAUGUGUGGUUGAACUCUGGCCGAAGCGACAGAGUAAUUUUUGGGCCCACAUCAAGGCCGUAUCGACAAGAUGGGGUAGGAUCGUUAAGGCCAUAGCGACAAAACGAUUUUAAUCUAUUGAGGCCAUAACGACAAAAUAGAUUUCUAAGGUAGGGUACUAGUUAGAGUCGUAGGUAGUGAUUUCGAAAGAGUGUCAGUUUUAUUGAUUUUUUGAAAUGAGUAUUACAAAAAUAAAAUCUAACUAUUCUAUUUUGUAACUUGUACUAGCAUAUAUACUAAGAGACUACAAUUUAGGACUACAAUUCUAGAUUUGAACCCUGGUGUUUUAGCCGAGCUCCGGCCAUAGCGACAGAGUGACUCUCGAUCCUCAUCAAGGCAAUAGCGACAAGAUGGGAUAGGAUCAUUAAGGCCAAAGCGACAAAAUGAUCCUUGGUCUAUUAAGGCCAUAGCGACAAAAUAGAUUUAAAACGAGGGUAUCAUUGAUUAUAGUCGUAAAUUUAAAAUAUCGGGGCUAGAUUCACAAAUGAGAGUCCGAUUUAGAUUCUUAAGUUGCACCUUGGACUCGUAAAUCUUAAACUAGACUUGUAAUCACAAUUUAGCCACUCUGGACGUAAAUUGGAUUUUGUGACCAUCACUUAGACUUGUGGGUCGUAAGCUAGGUCUGAGUAACGGGUAUCAUCCAACCAAAGCGAUGGAUGAUUGAUGAGGUCGAAGUGACGGAUGCCAUCCAAUCGAAGUGAUGGAUGAUUUAUCCGUCUAAAGCGAUGGGUGAUUAUUCUAAAUAUGAUAUGGCAUACAUAUUGCAUAGUAUCUCCAUGGAUUAAAGAGAGAUUUAUUUAGGAUAAUGUCGUUAUUUAGAAUAUAUGAGAAUAAUAUAAGCGACAAACAAAAGAAUCAACGUGUUUUGGUCGCUGGUUGCUACUGACAGAAGCAUAGCCUGUCUGGUUACUCUGGCCAAUCCUAUCUUCUUCUAACAGAUGAUACUUCCUCACUACUAGCGUGAUGCACUUGAUUGUGAAUGUGAACUGUGUCUUUGGUCGCCAUCACUGUUAUAGGAUUGAGAGCGUGAGCUAUGGCUUUGGUGGCCAUAACUAUUACUGGGCCGAGAGUGUGAGCUAUGGCUUUCGUGGCAAUAACUGUUACCAGAUUGAGAGUACGAGUUGGGCGGCUCGAGUUUGUCCAGCUUGUCGUUGUCCUCCUCUUCUAUCUCAAUGAACGAUUGAGCUCGUUGGAAGAGUUCGGGGAGGGUCUCCACUUUAUGGAGCAUCAGAUUCUGGGCCAAAGGGGAGAAGGGUACCAACCCUCUUAUGUAUCCUGCUAUGGCUAGACUUGGGAUCAGCUCGUUCACUUCUGUCAUUAUCGAAGUGAACUUCAUCGUGUAAUCCCUCAGAGACAGCUUGUUCUGUCGAAGUGCCAGUAGUGCAUUGGCACUGUGUUUUAUUCUAAUUAUCCCCACAUAUUGGGCGAUGAACUUUGAAGAGAGGUCCGCGAAGCUGGAGACCGAGCCAGCUGGCAGACCAGAAAACCACCGAUAAGCGCUGCCUUUGAGAGUGUCAGAGAAUGCCCGACACAACAGCCCGUUAUCGGUGGUUUGCGGUUCCAAGACAUUAAGGUAGAGGAUGAUGUGAUCUUUUGGAUCACUCGAACCGUCAUACGCUUCUAUCCUGAGUACCCGCCAGGUUGGUGGAAAAGAUCCUUUCAAAAGGUCCUUGUGAAAAGGAGCACUUUUAAUUCUCAGGAACUCGAUCGGGCUGCUGGUGACUGGAUCGGCGGUCAGCUUCCGACGGAGAUCUUCCACGAACCGUGUCGUAAGAGUCUUGUCAGUGCGACUUUUACUAGGUCCAGCCCUUGCUUUAGGAGGGACUGAAGAUUUUCUCUUUUUCUCUGCAGAUGGAGAAUAGUAAGACCCAAAUUCACCCGCUCCUUCGUGGAUGAUGGUCUUGUGGCCCCUCGCUUUCUCGAGGUUGCUAUCUCUUUUUUCUAUGGAAUCCAUAAAGUUAAUCAACCUUGCUUCAAACGCAGGAGUUAGGUUCACUCCCCCAUUUGGUCCGGGUAGUGUGGUACCUUCGCCAUUUGGUGGGAGUGAUGAGGGCACCUCAUGUGCGGACAGUGGUGCAUUAGAUAUUGGUACAGUACGAGAACCAACCCUCCUACCAGAAGCUCCUACUUCAGUAGCAGUAGCGGGAGCUUUCUUUUUAUGAUCCUUAGUAAAAGGAGCCAUAAAUGGGAUGGUUGCUUCUAUUGGGUCGAAGCAACAAACUACGAGUGGAAGUUCUUCCGAAGUGUCGGAAGCUAUGGGUAGGUACCUGCCCCCCUGAGUGUCACAAAACAAAAAAAAUUUGUAUAAUAUUUCUUUGUAGUUUUGUAACCCCCUUGAGGAGUACUACUAGUCCCCAAAGUUUGAAAUUAGCAAAAAAAAUCGCAAAUUUUUUGCAAUUUUUCUGCUGAAAAUCGUGCCGCUGGAGGUGGUUUUUGGGAUGCCUGUUUAGACCUAUCCUAGAAAAGAUUCCUUGCACUGUUGGGAAAUUCUUCUUUUUUGUACUCGUAGAGAAAACUUUUUUCACGUGAUGUGUGAUCUCAGAAUCCCAAAAUAGGAUAUGGGAAUUCCAGAGGUGGACCGACAGAAUCACUGAAAGCUCAUAUCCCUAAAUAGGAUUUGAGUUUUUUUUUUACCGAAACGACGAUACGAAUCCAGCCAAAGCGAUGGAUUUUCGUUUCGGUCGAAGAGUUGGGUUGUGGGUAGUCUUAUUCAGCUAAAGCGAUGAAUGAAAACAAGGACUGAAUAGACGAUUCAGGUAUGGGAAUCGCCUACUCAGUGUGGGAAUCGCCUACUCAGGUCGAUUCAGGUGGGAAUCGACGAUUCAGAUGAAGAUAGGUGAUUUUUUAUGAAAAAUCCAACCUAUGUGAAAGUGAAAGUACCAGAGCAAAAGGCUUUGACUUCACUUGUUCAAAAAGCUAAAGGAAUCGGCGACUCCCUAGGUGGAAUCGGCGACUCCCUAGGUGGAAUCGGCGACUCCCUAGGUGGAAUCGGCGACUCCCUAGGUGAAAUCGACGAUUCAACUUAUGGGCAUUUUGAACCAAGUCGUGGACAACACUCUUAGCUAGCAGACUUAUCCCGGAAUCGACGACUCAUUAGGUGGAGUCGGUGAUUGUUGGUAUGAAUCGACGAUUCCUUGACACAAAGUCAGCAAUUCACCCCAAGGGAAUCGAGCCGAACUUUGCGAAGAAAAUUUCGCGAUUACGACGGGAUAUCGUAGUUCGAUAGUCUCACAGACGGCGCCAGCUGAUGAAGCACAAAAUCUGCUACCAGGGGGCUCGUGGGGUUGCGAGAUGAGCCGAAGGCUUUGGAGUCCACGACGCGCGCUCUACGUCAAAUACCUGCAGAAGAGGAGGGGAAUCGACGACUCAGAUGUGGGAGUCGGCGACUCGGGCUCCUUAGUUUACUCUGGUGUGGAGUGUGUCAAGUGUUUGUGACCUGAGAAUGGAGGACCCCCAAGGACCCCUUUUAUAGGGUCUUUGGGACGUUUCUCCAUUCAAUGAUCUGGGGCCCACACCAUUAUGGCGCCCGGUUAAUGGUGCCAUAAUCGUGUGGGCCAGCUCAAGUAACGGCUGGGAAUCGCCUACUCAUUGUGAGAAUCGCCUACUCAGGUGUGGGAAUCGAUGACUUAGGUGAGAAUCGCCUAUUCCCCACUGGAAUCGGCUAUUCGCCACCGGAAUCGGCUAUUCCCCACUGGAAUCAGCUAUUCCCAUAUGUUUACUUGAGGACUUGACGUAGACACUUGUUCCGCAACCGUGAAGCUCUCCGGGGGUUCGGCAUAAAGCGACGGAACCCUAGUCCUUGUUGAAGGGCGUUGAUGAGAGUGACUGACGUAAUCAGGCAUGUUUCACCAAUAUAUAAUAUUAUAUUGUAAGAUAUAAUAUUAUAAUCUUUUCAUUGUUAUUCAACCAUUUGUGUAUAAGUAUUUGCAGGUAAUUCCGCAUUUAACCUGCCUAAUCGAAAAAGAGGCUAUUAUCCCCCCUUAUAGCCUCGAAUCUCGAUCCAACAAGUGGUAUCAGAGUCAACUUCCUUUGAAGUCAGACUAACAUCUCACAACAACAAUUAUGGCACCAAAUGGUGAAUACAGUACUAGUCUUGCAUCGAACAAACCCCCCAAGUUCGAUGGAGUAAAGUAUGACUUCUGGAAAAACAAGAUGAAGUUAUACUUGAAGUCAAUCAACAAUGGAGUCUGGAAGAUCAUAUUGGAAGACUAUGAAAUUCCAACAAGCAAAGAAGAGACUUGGGGAGAAAUGGAUAUCCUCAAGGAAAACAACAACUCAAGAGCAUUGAAUGCUCUAUACAGGGCACUCAAUGAAUCUGAGUACAGUAGAAUUCGAUGCUUGGAUACAGCUCACAAGGUAUGGAAAGCAUUGGAGGAUUUGCAUGAAUGAACCUCCCAUGUUAAAGAAAACAAGUUGUUACAUACUACCUCUCAGUUCGAAAGAUUCUCUAUGAGGGAAGACAAGACUAUCGCAUAAAUGAACAUUAGACUAUCACAAAUAGUUAAUGAUCUGGCUGGACUAGGGGAUCCAGUAACUGAAAAGAAGCAAGUGAGCAAAAUUCUGAGGAGCCUUCCAAACAAGUACUACUCCAAAAUGAAUGCUAUCCAAGAGGCUCAUGAUCUCAACAAACUUACAGUUGUGGAACUCUGUGGAAAUCUGAUGGCUUAUGAAGAAGAAAGAUUCAUCUCUAGAGCUAAAGAAGAGAAAAAGGAUAUUGCUCUUAAAAGUCAAUCUGACAAUGAAACAUCAGAGGAUGAUCUAGCAAUGAUCACCAAUCAUCUGAGAAGAUAUCUGAAAAAGAGGAAAGAGAAGAAAGACUCGAGGUCAAGACAUCAGAAGUUCGACAGAAAAAUAAGCAAGGAGUCAAAAGAACCAAUUUGUCAUCUAUGCGACAAGCCUGAACACAUCAAACCAGAAUGUCCUCUGCUAAAGAAAGAAAAAGCAAAUCAUGCACAAUGGACAGACUCCGACUCGGAUCAAGAAGACUGCCUCAUGGCUCAUGAAAGCGACUCUGAGGUAAGUUUUUUAAAUACUAGAUUUAAUUCUUUAGAAGAAGCAUAUCUAGAGUUAAUGGAAAAAUAUAAAAAAGAAAAAAAAUUAACUAAGUCAUUAAAACUAUAAUGCAUGAAUAAAACACACAUAGAUCAAUCUAUUGAAUUAGAAGAAUCACUAAAAGAAUGCAUGCAAUUAAAAGAAAGAAAUCUAAAACUCACAAGUAAAUUAAACAAAGAUAAAGAAAAAAUUAAGAUACUUAAGAGUCAAAACUUUGAAUUGCUUAAUAUUUUAGAAUCUGAAGAGAAUCAACCUAAGGAAAUAGAUGAUGAUAAGAUUGAAUUGCUAGAAUUAAAAAUAGAUAAUUUUGAAGAAGAUAUUAUGUUAAAAGAAAAAGUAACAAUCAUGCUCAAAACAGAUAUAGAAUCUAAAGAUAAAAUCAUACUUUAGCAUAUAUAAACUAUACAAAAAUUAUCUGAAAAAUGUAAUGACAUGCAAUUACAAAUCAAAAGAAUAGAUCAAAAGAAUAAGGUUCUUGAAAAAUUCUUAAAUAGUUCAACCAAGCUAAAUAUCAUGUUGCAAAGUUCAAGCUCAUGUCAAAAGAAAUUUGGCUUAGGGUUUGAAUUAGAUGCACCUAUUAAAAAACCUUCACAUGCUUUAACUUAUAAUGAUUAUUUUGUGAGAGAAUCUAGCUACAAAAAACUUAUUCAUCUUAAGAAAAAGAAAAAUAUAGCUAAGAUGAAUCAUCCAAAACAAAAAUGGAUGACCAAGGAUGAGUUAAAAAAUUAUAAGCAAAUCAACUAUGUUAAUUCAUCUGGACCCAACUCAGUAUGGGUACCAAAAGAUUCUUCAACUAUUUCAGGAAAAACAGGUGUCAAAAUGGAUGUUCGACAAUGGAUGGACAAAGCACAUGACUGGAGAUUCAAGUCUGCUGACAGAUUUGACCGACUGGCCUACUACUAAGAAGGUCAAGUUCGCCGAUAACAACGAAUGUACCAUUAUAGGUAGAGGUAAUAUAGGUAAUAUAGAUAGACCAUUUCUUAGAGAUGAGUAGAUCAAUGUUACAAGAACAUGAUUCACCACAGUAUCUCUGGGCAGAAGCUGUUAACACAGCCUGUUAUAUACUAAACAAGGUGAUUAUUAAAAAAACCUUGAACAAAACUCCAUAUGAGAUCUGGAAUGGAAGAAAACCAAAAGUCUCAUAUUUCAAGGUCUUUGGAUGCAAAUGUUAAUACGCUCUCCGAACAAGAGGCAACCAAGACAAAUUUGCUCAGAAGUCUGAUGAAGGUAUUCUGGUAGGAUACUCUAGAAGGAGCAAAGCAUACAAAAUUGUUCUCAAAGAAAAACAAAUAAUGAUCGAAUCAUUACACGUUGACUUUGAUGAAUCUACUCAGACAACCAUUAUAGAAGAAGACGAAAUAGGUCCAAAGCCAGAAAUCAUCAUUCCAACUGAAGAAACUACCAAUGACGAAAUCGAAGUCUCUGAGCCUCCAUCCAACAGGUUUCUCAGAAACCCACACUCCACUGAUCAAAUCAUUGGUGACCAUCAAGCUGGUGUUAGAACCAGAUCGUCCAUUCAAGAAAACAGUGUUCUUGACUGUUUUGUCUCUCAAAUUAAGCCCAAGAAAAUUGAUGAAGCCCUCGACGACAACUAUUGGAUUCAAGCUAUGCAAGAAGAACUCAACCAAUUUGAGAGAAAUGAUGUAUGAUAACUAGUUCCAAAACCAAAAAAUACAUCAAUCAUUGGAACAAGAUGGGUAUUCAGAAACAAGCUGGAUGAAAAUGAAACUAUAGUCAGAAACAAAGCUAGACUGGUUGCUCAAGGAUACAAUCAACAAGAAGGAAUAGAUUAUGAUGAAACCUUUGCACCAGUAGCUAGACUAGAAUCCAUCAGAAUGCUCCUAUCCUUUGCAUGCUACAAGGAUUUCAUAUUAUAUCAAAUGGAUGUAAAGAGUGCAUUCUUGAAUGGAAUAGUAAAUGAACAAGUAUAUGUCAGACAACCCCCCGGAUUCGAAGAUUACAAAAACCUUGAUCAUGUUCUUAAACUUAAGAAAGCCCUCUAUGGUCUGAAACAAGCACCCCGAGCUUGGUAUGAAAGACUAAGAAACUUUCUCAUUUCUCAGGAAUUUAGAAUGGAGAGUAUAGAUAACACAUUGUUCAUUAAAAAUGUCAAAAGCGACAUUAUUCUAAUCCAAAUUUAUGUUGAUGACAUUAUAUUUGGAUCAACCGAUGAUACUCUAUGCAAGAAAUUUUCCAAACAAAUGGAAGAUGAAUUUGAAAUGAGUAUGAUGGGAGAGUUGACUUUCUUCUUAGGUCUACAAGUCAAACAAAAGAAGAAUGGAAUAUUUUUAAGCCAAGUCAAAUAUGUUAAGGAACUGAUAAAGAAAUUUGACUUGACUGAAUCAAAAUCUAUGCCAACUCCUAUGAGUUCAACACUUACAUUGGAUAAAGAUGUUGAAGGUCAAUCAGUAGACAUUAAGAAAUACAGAGGAAUGAUUGGAUCACUGUUGUACUUAACAGCUAGCAGACCAGACAUCAUGUUUGCAGUCUGCUUAUGUGCCAGAUUUCAAUCAGACCCAAAAGAGUCACAUCUCAAAGCGGUUAAAAGAAUAAUCAGGUAUAUCAAAGGAACAGUUACACUUGGAUUAUUCUACCCUAAGGGCAACUCAUUCACACUGACAGCAUACUGUGAUGCUGACUUUGGUGGAUGUAAGACUGACAGAAAAAGCACUAGUGGAACAUGCUUUCUGUUGGGAAGCUCACUCGUAGCAUGGUCAUGUAAAAAGCAAAAUAGUAUUACUUUAUCCACAACUGAAGCAGAAUAUAUGGCAGCAUCUAAUGCAUGCGCUCAAAUUUUGUGGAUGAAACAAACAUUAUCCGACUACAAUGUAGUUUAAGAAACAGUAGCUCUUAAAUGUGAUAACAAGAGUGCAAUUUGUCUAUCAAAAAACUAUGUGUUACAUUCAAGAUCUAAAUACAUUGAUGUAAGACAUCAUUUCCUUAGAAAUCAUGUAGAAAAGAAAAAUAUCUGCCUAAAAUAUAUUUCUACUGAAGAUCAAAUGGCUGACAUUUUUACUAAACCCUUAGAUCAAGAAGUUCAUUCGAAAAUCAGAAGAUCUAUGGGUAUAUGUGAGCUUAGUGAAAUUUGAUUGGUUAUAAGUCAAUGCAUCUCAAACUUUAGUCUUAAUAUUUUUAUAUUUACAACCUUGAUCAUGAUUCAAACUUAUGCAAUGAACUAAGUACGUAUAUGCAUGCUACUACUUCAAAGAAAUUUUAAGUCUAUGCAUACACAUAUAAUCUUACACAAGUACACGUAUGCAAAUAAAAUGAUCUUAUGCAUGUUUUAAAACUAUAUAACACAUGCAUGUAUAAAUUGAAGAGUUUAAUUUAAAUACAUGACUAUCAUGCUACCAUAAAUUAUACAUGCAUGCUUACAAUUGAACACUAUCAAUAUAUCAUAUGCCACUAUAAAUAGUUGCUUACAUGAACAUGCUUGUAUUACUAUUAUCUAUGACAUAUUGACAUGCAGCACAUACAUCAUGCAUACUAAAAUUGAAACUAUGAUGCACGAUUUAAACUCUAAGCAUGUGCUAUGUAUACAUCAUAUAUGUAUCUAUGAAUUAUAUCAAUUUAAACAUGCACAGUAUACAUGAUUAAAAAUUACAAAGUGAUAUGUUACACCAUUAGACUGUUGCGAGUAUUUUUCUUUGGUAAAACAAAGAGUUGCAUUACUGCUCUGCGAUCUUCAACCUCCGAUCAUUCUCGAGAAACUCGGAGAAAGAUCUGCGAAAUCCACGCUGCAAUCGGAAGAUCGCGACAUUCUGCAUCACAGUAACACCUGCACAAGUGUCAACUCACUUGAGCGUCGCCUGCAACAGCCAAAUCCUUGUUGCAACUACUCAAAAAAAAAAUCGUGACAAUCUGCACCAAAUCUAUCUGCUGCAGAAAUGCGUCUUGGAAUGAUCAAAAGGUAUGAUUAAAUAUCUUCUAUAUCAACUGUUGUAUACCUAAAUAGUAGAAAAUCAGAUUAAUUAUGAUCUGCCCUAUGCUUCAUAUCAAAUCAAGCUAAUCAACUCAGCUUGGUAAUUAUGAUCUUUUAGCUCAGGAGAAGAUCAGAAAUCUCCUGUUAAACAAGACAUCAGCCAGAAUCUCUUUAAAAAACUCUAUACUUAGCUGAUAUCAUAGAUCAUCAUCAUGAGAUUUCAUCUAGUAUUAUACUCGAUAUUAAAAACUCUACACUUAGCUGAUAUCAUAGAUCAUCUUCAUAAGAUCUCUUCAACAGUUAGACAAAACCCUAUGCUUAGAUGAUACUUUCAAAAUAUCUUCAUCAUCAUUUGUUAAGCUUAACAAGCAAUGUUAGUCAAACUGAAAUUACUUCUCCCAAGCUUACACGACAAGCUCAAAGGUCACUCUCCAAGGCUUAUUUAAAUCGAGAAACCAGUGAGCUAAAUCACACUUCUCAUACUCAUAAAGAUUCUCAAAAACCAAAACCAAAACCUUCCCUUCUCACCCAUUCCUACCACUUCCAUUUCAAAAUGGGUUCUUAUGAUCCAGACUGAAAAAAGGUGAUGGAUCUUAUAAAAGACAAAGGGAAGAAGCAGGAGAGUCAAUCCACAACCAAAGAUGAGACAACUACUCACUUGCUUAAGGAGAUCGAUGAGGCAAAAUCAAGGAUUAAAUGGCUUGAGUCAAGUAUCAAAAACCAAGGAGAUCUGAUCGCCGACAUGCAACAUCAAAUCGAUCUAUUGAAAGAUCCCAAUGAAGAAGCCAACACCAUCACUGAUUAACUAUAGUGUUAAUAUUUUGUUGUCUAGGUUCUUGUCUCAUCGCGUACCUUGAUGUUUUGGUAUCUUGUGUUAAUGUUCUAUCUAUGUCACCAUGAAGAUCCAUUAGUGAUCUUAAAUCUCAUUGUGUAUGAGAUUAAUCUUGUAUUUCCCCUAUCAUCAAUAUGAAGAUCAGUUCUUUAUUUGAAAUCUUUUAUCUUCAUAUAAGGGUAUGCAUGUAAGGAUAGAACAAGUUCACAGAAAUUUAAAAUAUCUAAGGACUGCAUGGUUAAGUAUUACAACUUCAAGGGAUAAAAUGAAAAAUUUUAUGAAGUAAUACAUGAAAAAUUCACUGAACUUGAGGAGUUAAGUGAUAUUUUUCAAGUAAAUUGGUAUUUAAAACUUCAAGGACUUAGAGUAAAUAUCUACAUGAACUUUUUUAAUCGAAAAAAUGCUUAGAAAUAUGUAAUACUUCCAAGGUUUAAAAUGAAAUUUUUUAAGUAUUUAUCAUAACUUCAAAGGGCUUAAAUGAAAUUCUUUAAGUGAAGUUUUAUUAUUAAGACUUUAAGGACUGAAAUGAAAGUUUUUAAAUCUUUUAAAACUUAGUGGAUAUUUACAUGAUUACAUAUUAGCCACUAAGACCUAGAUUUUAAACUUUUUAAGUGCUUAAAUCUGCUUAAAGUCGUUAGUGAAUCAUGUUUUAUGCAUACAUUUCAUUCACUAAAAUAUUUUAUGGAUUAUAACAUCAUAAUAUCUUUAAUCUAUACAACAUACAUGUUAAGAUCAUCUUCAUCCAUAACACACACAUGGAUUAUUAUUCAUUGCAUGAUCUUAACACAAAGGCAAUUAAAUUCAUCACAUCAUCAUACUUGCCUUAAAAUGUAUAUCAAAAUUAGUACUCAUAUUAUAUUUUCUCAAAUGAGCAAAAUUAUAUUUCUCCUAUAUAUAUGAUUGACUAACACUCUUAUAAGCAUAAAGUAACAUUUGGUCAACCACGAAACUCAAAUUUGUGAUCAAGCUCAAUUAAGUAUGAACUUUUAUUUUCUCCACAAAUUCGAUAUGUUCUAUCAUUAAGGGGGAGAUACUCUGGUAUCAAGUUUUAACUUUGUCAAUACCUUAUUGUUUUAAGGGGGGGAUAUAUUACUCACUAUUUUAAACUGAAUAUUAUGAGUCAAUAAUUCAGGGGGAGCAUGCUCAUAAGUGUAAAUUAAAAUAUUGACUAAACAUGAAUUAAAACAUAUAUGUCAUCGACAAAGGGGGAGAAUAUAGAAUCAAAAUUGUCGAUAUAAGAUUAUAUUUUAAUCAUGUUAAUUUUAUCCCUAAUUACACUAUUAAUUCAAAGGGUAAAAUUAGUCAAGAUUAGACCUAACUUAAAUUAAUUAAGUCAAAGGUUUAAUCAAAGUCAAAAUCGAAUUGAUUCAAUUGCAUAAAUACCUUGAAUAUAAUUAUUAUUGUUAUCUCUAACAUUUUAGUCAAGAUACAAUAACCAAGGAGCAAAAGACACUAUUCACCAGUGAAUCUUCUCAAGAUCUUCUCAAGGGGACAAAGAUAUCCUUGAUUGAAAUCAUAUCUACAAAAAGCAAGCUUCUUGGGAAGACAAAAUCUUGGACUCUUGUGAGGAAUCAAGGAACCAUCCAUUGAAGAUCCAAGGGUGGACAAGUGAUGACCUAGGCUAUAAAUAGAGGUCCAAACCCUCCAUUUUCGUUCACCACACUUCAAGCACUACAAAGAGUUUUUCAUUCCUCAUCUUGAUAUCUACAAAGUGUUCUUGCUUCCAAGGUUCUAAGCUUCCAAAAGCUCUCAAGUGUCCAAGCUUCCAAAAGCUUCAAAAGCUCUCCAACUUCUACUUCUAACCUUCUUGUUCAUCUUUACAAGUAAGAAGUUUUGUGUGCUCUAAACAUUCCACUUCAUUAAUCCUCUCUUGUGUGUGUCCACUUUGGUUGAGAGGUUUGUAGUGUGAGAGAAGGUUUCUGAGCUCAACCAAAAAGCUCUUGUUUGGUUUUAUAGAGUUUCCGGGAAAACUCUUAGGUGAAAUCUACCUUGAAAGAUUAAUAGAGGUUUUUAAGAGUUCCUUAAUACUCUAAGGUACUAACUUACCUGUAAAAGUUAAAGGUUCUUAAGAGUGCCCUUGAUACUCUAAGGUGUGAGUCUACCCGUAAAAGACUGGUUCCUAAGCGAAGUAGCCUUAAAGCUUAGAGAAGUUUUUUAAGAGUUCCUUGAUACUCUAAGGUACUAACUUACCCGUAAAAGUUAGAGGUUCUUAAGAGUGCCCUUGAUACUCUAAGGUGUGAGUCUACCCGUAAAAGACUGGUUCUUAAGCGAAGUAGCCUUAAAGCUUAGAGAGGUUUU